rnacentral:rRNA from 1 species
GACGAACGCUGGCGGCGUGCCUAAUACAUGCAAGUCGAACGGUCUUUCUAUGGAAGCUUGCUUCCGCUGAGAAGAUAGUGGCGAACGGGUGAGUAACACGUGGGUAACCUGCCCAUAAGAGGGGGAUAACAUCCGGAAACGGGUGCUAAUACCGCAUAGGUUUCUUGGUCGCAUGAUCGAGAAAGGAAGACGGCCUUUGUGCUGUCGCUUAUGGAUGGACCCGNGGCGUAUUAGUUAGUUGGUGAGGUAAUGGCUCACCAAGACGAUGAUACGUAGCCGACCUGAGAGGGUGAUCGGCCACAUUGGGGACUGAGACACGGGCCCAAACUCCUACGGGAGGCAGCAGUAGGGAAUCUUGCACAAAUGGGCAAAACCCUGAUGCAGCGACGCCGCGUGAGCGAAGAAGGCCCU